rnacentral:rRNA from 1 species
AACGAACGCUGGCGGCAUGCCUAACACAUGCAAGUCGAACGAGACCUUCGGGUCUAGUGGCGCACGGGUGCGUAAAGCGUGGGAACCUGCCCUUAGGUUCGGAAUAACUCCCCGAAAGGGGUGCCAAUAGCGGAUAAUGUCUUCGGACCAAAGGUUUAUCGCCGUUGGAGGGGCCGGCGUUGGAUAAGCUAGUUGGUAGGGUAAAAGGCUACCAAGGCGACGAUCCAUAGAUGGUCUGAGAGGAUGAUCAGCCACACUGGGACUGAGACACGGCCCAGACUCCUACGGGAGGCAGCAAUGGGGAAUAUUGGAAAAUGGGCGAAAGCCUGAUCCAGCAAGGCCGGGAGAGUGAUGAAGGCCUUAGGGUUGUAAAGCUCUUUUACCCGGGAUGAUAAUGACGGUACCGGGAGAAUAAGCUCCGGCUAACUCCGUG